rnacentral:rRNA from 1 species
AUUGAACGCUGGCGGAAUGCUUUACACAUGCAAGUCGAACGGCAGCACGGACUUCGGUCUGGUGGCGAGUGGCGAACGGGUGAGUAAUAUAUCGGAACGUAUCCAAUAAUGGGGGAUAACUAAUCGAAAGGUUGGCUAAUACCGCAUACGUCCUACGGGAGAAAGCUAGGGACCUUCGGGCCUGGCGUUAAUGGAGCGGCCGAUAUCUGAUUAGCUAGUUGGUGAGGUAAAGGCUCACCAAGGCGACGAUCAGUAGCUGGUCUGAGAGGACGACCAGCCACACUGGAACUGAGACACGGUCCAGACUCCUACGGGAGGCAGCAGUGGGGAAUUUUGGACAAUGGGCGCAAGCCUGAUCCAGCCAUUCCGCGUGAGUGAAGAAGGCCUUCGGGUUGUAAAGCUCUUUCGCAAGGGAAGAAAACUUAUCCUCUAACAUAGGAUGAGGUUGACGGUACCUUGAUAAGAAGCACCGGCUAACUACGUGCCAGCAGCCGCGGUAAUAC